GAGAGGGAUCACCAGUGGUGGGCAGGUCUCCCAAAACAUUACAAAAUCACUUAUGAUAGUGUCAGCUUUAAAUAAAUACUGGCGCCAGAAGAGUGAAAAGCUGGCUUAGAACAAGAUCCACGCAAUGCUGUGCUGUGAAGGGUCCUGUGAUCAUCAAGUGCCCCAACUCUGGACUAAAUAGAGGCUUACUGAACCAAUGCAGAAAUGCCAAGUAGCUUUUUCAUACAUCAAUUAAGAAAAGAUGCAGAGAACAAUGAGGCAUUCUAUCCUGGGACAAAGAGUGUGCCAGCUGAUGAUGAAACCCACCUUAUCCACGUCGCUCCAGCUAAGAACAGCACAAAAAUAUUUUCAAUAUACUCUGCUAAGUAGUCCGGGAU